AUGGAGGUGGCUCUGGUGAGUGCAGUAACAGGGGCCUUGAAACCCGUCUUAGAGAAGAUGACUGCUCUUUUGGGCGAUGAGUACAAGCGUUUCAAGGGUGUGCGUAAGGAGAUCAAGUCCCUCACACAUGAACUCACUGCCAUGGAUGCUUUUCUCCUGAAUAUGUCGGGGGAGGAGGAUCCUGGGGUGCAGGAUAAGGUGUGGAUGAAUGAAGUGCGGGAGCUCUCCUAUGACAUGGAGGAUUCCAUCGACGACUUCAUACAACACGUCGGCGACAAUGAUAUAAAGCCAGAUGGCUUUAUAGAGAAGAUCAAGAGCUCACUAGGGAAGAUGAAGGCUCGUCGUCGGAUCGGAAGCGACAUCCAAGGUUUGAAGAAACAAAUUAUUGAGGUGGGCGAGAGGAAUGAAAGGUACAAGACUCCACAUGCCUUCUCCGGGCCCAUCAAUGCAAUUGUUGACACGAGAGCUCUUGUUAUCUUUGAACAUGCAUCAAAACUCACUGGAAUUGAUGAACCGAAGGCUGAGAUAAUCAAACUAUUGACCGAACAUGACCGAUGUUCAUCAACACAACAAGUGAAGAUAGUCUCCAUUGUUGGACCUGGAGGUAUGGGAAAGACAACUCUUGCAAACCAAGUGUAUCAAGAUCUUAAAGUGAAAUUCGAGUGUCGGGCCUUCCUAUCAGUGUCACAAAAUCCAGACAUGAUGAAUAUUAUGAGAACUAUUCGUAGUCAAGUUAGUGAUCAACGUUUUGCUGACACCGAAGAAGGAAGCUUGCAACAACUGAUUAUCAACAUCACAGAUUUUCUGCAAGACAAAAGGUACUUCGUUGUUGUUGAUGAUAUAUGGGAUGCAGAUGCUUGGAAAGUUAUCCGGCGUGCAUUCCCUGAGAGCAGUUCUAGCAGUAGAAUAAUCAUCACUACUCGUAUAAAUGAUGUCGCUGAAUCAUGCCGUUCGUCAUUUGAUGGACAUGUUUAUCAUAUAAGGCCUCUUGAUAUGGUGCACUCAAGGAAAUUAUUUCAUAGAAGACUAUUCGACUCCCAAGAAGAUUGCCCCUCGUAUCUUACAGAAGUUUCUAACCAGAUCUUGAAAAAAUGUGCUGGGUUACCAUUGGCAAUCAUUGCCAUAUCUAGUUUGUUGGCUAACACUGAAAGAUUGGAAGAUCUAUGGAAUCAGGUUAAAGAAUCAGUUGGUCGAGCACUUGAAAGAAAUCCUAGCAUCGAUGGAAUGAUGAAGAUAUUAUCACUUAGUUACUUUGAUCUGCCACCUCAUCUAAAAACUUGUCUCUUAUAUCUGAGUAUAUUUCCUGAGGAUUCAGUUAUUAAGAAGAAAGUACUGAUAAGGAGGUGGAUUGUUGAAAGAUUCAUUCAUGCAGAAGGCAGAUACACAUCAUAUGAAUAUGGCGAAUGGUGUUUUAAUGAGCUCCUCAAUAGGAAUUUGAUCCUACCAGGGGAGACAGACAAAUAUGGUAGGGUGAAGAGUUGUCGAGUUCAUGAUACAAUUCUUGAUUUCAUCAUAUCCAAAUCCAUCGAAGAGAACUUUGUUACUUUGGUUGGUGUUCCAAAUUUAAAUCUUGGGACACUAAACAAAGUUCGUCGACUUUCACUACAUGCUAGUGAGAAGGAAAAUUUGAUAAGGCCGACAUGUCCAAUGUUGUCUCAUGUUCGAUCACUUGAUCUAUUUGAGAAACCAGAGAAAAUCCCUUCUUUGGAUGAGUUCAAGCAUUUGCGUGUUUUGGACUAUGGAGGUUGCUUCUAUUUGGAAAACCAUCAUCUUAGAAAUAUAGGGAGAUUGUUUCAAUUGAGGUACCUGAACCUCAUAUGGACAAACAUAAGUGAGCUCCCAGAAGAAAUCGGGCAUCUCCGGUGCUUAGAGAUGUUGGACAUAAGAGGCACAGAAGUAUAUUGCUUGCCAUCAUCUAUUGUUAAUCUCAAAAAGCUGUCCAAACUACUCGUCAAAGAGGAGGCCCGAUUUCCUAAUGGGAUUGAGAAUAUGCAGGCGCUGGAGAUGCUGAAACAUGUCAGCCUCUUCAGGCAGCCAUCCAACUUCGCUCAAGAACUUGGCCAGCUAAAGAAUCUGAUGAAGCUGGUCCUUGACUUUGUGGAUUAUUCUGAUGAAUUCCAUGAAGCUAUUGCCUCUUGUCUUCAUAACCUAGGCAGCCAAAGCCUUCGUUCUCUAACUAUUUUAUGGGGGGACAACUUCUUACAGCAAGGACCUUUGUGCCCUAUGCCGCUUACCCUCCAAAAACUUGUCACCACUUAUACAACUAUCCCUCGGGUUCCGAAUUGGAUGGGAUCCCUCGUCAACCUUCAGCACUUGCGCCUUGAAGUGACGGAGGCCGGACAAGAAGAUCUGUGCAUCCUUGGAGCCUUACCCGCUCUGCUCAUUCUGGACCUAGUCAUAAGAGCAAGAAAAACAUCAAAGUAUACAGAUUGGCUCAGAGUCAGUUGUGAAGUUGGGUUUCAAUGCUUGAAGAAGUUUUAUUAUAGAACACAACCUGAACCGGCAGCUCUGGUGUUUAUGGCAGGAUCAAUGCCUAGGCUGGAGAUACUCGAGAUUAAUUACGGCCCUGAUGGCACCGAGUCUCUUGAUUUUGGAAUCGAGAACCUUCCCCGCCUCACUACCGCGACAUGGAUAAUACACGGCAAGAAGGAUGUUGUUGAGGCUGAAAAGGCUGCUCUCGAGAGAGCAGGAAGUAGACAUCCCAACUAUCCUACUCUUGUCUUCCGAUGUUGA
rnacentral:rRNA from 1 species